rnacentral:lncRNA from 1 species
GGAAUAAAGAUAUUUUUAAAAAGGGAAAAUAGAUAUUUUUAAAGGGAAAUAUAUAUUUUUCAAAGGGAAAAUAGAUAGUUUUUAAAAGGGAAAAUAGAUUAGUAUAUCCAAGCUAUGCACAUUGCAUAUAAGACAUAACAUUUUUACAGAGAAAAUGAUGGGAAAAUAUAUAUUUUAAAGGGAAAAUAGAUAUUUUUAAGGGAAAAUAGAACAGUAUAUCCAAGCUAUAUGCACAUUGCAUAAAAGACAUAAAGCCACUUCUUUAACCAACAUAAUUACUAGUUUUUCCAUGAGCUAAUGACAUUAACAAACUAUGAAUAUUUUCUUGAGCUGAAAUUUGAUAGAGACACCAUAGAUUUUCAAAGCAGGUUUGUUUACUUGCAAAUGUCGAAA